rnacentral:hammerhead_ribozyme from 1 species
AUUCAGUUGACAAGUUCUGAACAGGACGAAACAUCGUGUCCUAAAU